rnacentral:rRNA from 1 species
GAUGAACGCUGGCGGCGUGCCUAAUACAUGCAAGUCGAGCGAACAGAUGAGGAGCUUGCUCCUCUGACGUUAGCGGCGGACGGGUGAGUAACACGUGGAUAACCUACCUAUAAGACUGGGAUAACUUCGGGAAACCGGAGCUAAUACCGGAUAAUAUAUUGAACCGCAUGGUUCAAUAGUGAAAGACGGUUUUGCUGUCACUUAUAGAUGGAUCCGCGCCGCAUUAGCUAGUUGGUAAGGUAACGGCUUACCAAGGCAACGAUGCGUAGCCGACCUGAGAGGGUGAUCAGCCACACUGGAACUGAGACACGGUCCAGACUCCUACGGGAGGCAGCAGUAGGGAAUCUUCCGCAAUGGGCGAAAGCCUGACGGAGCAACGCCGCGUGAGUGAUGAAGGUCUUCGGAUCGUAAAACUCUGUUAUUAGGGAAGAACAAAUGUGUAAGUAACUAUGCACGUCUUGACGGUACCUAAUCAGAAAGCCCCGGCUAACUACGUG